GGCCACGUCGCUCAGUUGGCUAUAGUGUUGGCUAUACUAAAGCCUUCCCCUUUUGGCGUGGGUUCGAAUCCUACUGAGGCCA
rnacentral:tRNA from 1 species